rnacentral:rRNA from 1 species
UACGUAGGGGGCAAGCGUUGUCCGGAAUUAUUGGGCGUAAAGCGCGCGCAGGCGGCGAUCUACGUCUGGGGUGAAAGCCCGGAGCUCAACUCCGGGACUGCCUUGGAUACGGGAUCGCUUGAGGAUUGGAGAGGCAAGGGGAAUUCCACGUGUAGCGGUGAAAUGCGUAGAUAUGUGGAGGAACACCUGUGGCGAAGGCGCCUUGCUGGCCAAUUUCUGACGCUGAGGCGCGAAAGCGUGGGGAGCAAACAGG